GUGGGCUAGUGGAGAGGGGAAGAGCUGAGAGAGAAGAAAAGGUCGGCGUGGCCAAACACAAUAAUGUUUGAUAAUCGUUUCCGCGACGAUAUCGUCUCUCUACGCGAUUCGACGAUCGCUCCGGACUGGUAGGUACCGGUUUGCGAGAAAGGGUGGAGCGAUCGCACUCGGAAGGGAUGAUAAUGCGAUUUUUGGGCAAAGGCUCAGUUACGACGUCCGCGUCCGACGACCAUAUAUAAGCCGGAGAUCUCUGCUUGACAGUUUAUUGUCGAAACCGCAACACACCGUCACGGAGGACCCGUCCAAGUAUCCACACUACCCACACGGCAGCAGCGACGACAAAGCACUCCAACUACAACUGGUCAUCUGUAUCACCCCAGUCGUGCCAUCUCAGGUUCCCGAUCACCGAAUCGAUUCACUUCAGAUUGAUCUCCGCCUGUACUAACGAGAAUUAACGAUGUCUUCGAGCUGCACGUCGAAAUCCACCGACUACUACUAUCAGAUGAGGCAGAAGAACAACGAGGCGGCCAGAAACAGCCGUUUCAAGAAGAAGGUCGCUGAAAUCGAAAUAUCCGCUCAAAAGCGCAAGUUGGAGGUGACUUACGUACAGUUGAAGAAAGAAAUCAAACGCAUACAAAUCGUGAAAGCUUCUUAAACAUCUUUCAGGCUUUUUCCGUGAUCAUGGCUGCAAUACAAAUAGAAAAUAUUUUAAACUGGAAAUUUUAAGUAAAAAAAUUAUGCAAAUAGAUUCUGUUGAAUUUCUAGUCAAAUGGAUUGUCCACCACUCAAUAGUUUGACUGUAAUUUCUACAGGAAUGAAAUACAAAUUUUUUUUUUUUUUACCUAUACCUACCAAAUUUGUAAAGGACUAUAUUUUCAGGAUAAAAAAAUUUUUUAUAUAAGCUUUUAUAUUAUUAUUAUUAUUAUUAUUAUUAUUUUUUUCCUAUUAUUAUUAUUAUUAUACUUUUUUUUUUGUAACUUACCUACAGUGUUUCAUAAUAUUAUAUAUGUAAAAUUAUUAUUUUUAUUACAAAUUUUUUUUUUUUCGGAUUUUGUAAAUGUCGGCAUAAUAUAUUAUACACCG